rnacentral:rRNA from 1 species
AGCUCAAAUUUGAAAUCUGGCCCUUUCAGGGUCCGAGUUGUAAUUUGCAGAGGGCGCUUUGGAGUUGGCUGCAGCCUAAGUUCCUUGGAACAGGUCAUCAUAGAGGGUGAGAAUCCCGUAUGUGGUUGCAUGCCUUCGCCGUGUAAAGCCCCUUCGAUGAGUCGAGUUGUUUGGGAAUGCAGCUCUAAAUGGGAGGUAAAUUUCUUCUAAAGCUAAAUAUUGGCCAGAGACCGAUAGCGCACAAGUAGAGUGAUCGAAAGAUGAAAAGCACUUUGGAAAGAGAGUCAAAAAGCACGUGAAAUUGUUGAAAGGGAAGCGCUUGCAGCCAGACGUGCCCGCAGUUGCUCAUCCGGGGUUCUCCCCGGUGCACUCUUCUGUGGGCAGGCCAGCAUCAGUCCGGGCGGUUGGAGAAAGACCUGUGUCAUGUAGCUGUCCUCGGGCAGUGUUAUAGGGCAGGUGGAAUGCAACCAGCCCGGACUGAGGUCCGCGCAUCUGCUAGGAUGCUGGCGUAAUGGCUGUAAGCGGCCCGUCUUGAAACACGGACCAAGGAGUCUAACAUCUAUGCGAGUGUUUGGGUGUCAAGCCCGAGCGCGUAAUGAAAGUGAACGGAGGUGGGAACCCCUCGGGGCGCACCAUCGACCGAUCCUGAUGUCUUCGGAUGGAUUUGAGUAAGAGCAUAGCUGUUGGGACCCGAAAGAUGGUGAACUAUGCCUGAAUAGGGUGAAGCCAGAGGAAACUCUGGUGGAGGCUCGCAGCGG